CUAUUAUCCAUAGAAUCAAUACUGUAGAAUGCUACCUAACUUCAAUAUGUAUGUCUUUUAUGUCAUGUAAGAUUUCCACUUGGAAAUCAAUUUCCCUCCAAGUAUUCUCCAAUAUUUGCAGUAUAAUUAUUUUUAUUGCAACAAUUCUGACCUUCAGUUCAUCAAGAAAAGUCACAGGGUUCUUGUAAACCAUGGAUCUUCAUGUAUCUUCACAGGAAGAAAUCAAGCAUCAUAAUAUUGAGCAAGUGCGGAAGCCAUGGAGCCACGUAUCAUGCCUAACCCAUCAUUCAGGAAAAUGAAUGUUAACAGAAUUCUCAGACAAGAGUCUGUGUGGCAUCUUAUUGGAACAUCAUAUUUGGCCGAUUAUCUUCCAACUGAAGUAACAUUAAGUCUAGGCAUGUCCCAGAUAUAUCAUUGUUAUCACUGUUUUUUCUUAAAAAGAAAAAAGUCUCAAAACUUCCAAACAUGACAAAGCAUUUUGGAUUAUUGCUCUUGAAUAUUCAAAUAGCUGAUUUAAUUUCAAAAAACC
rnacentral:lncRNA from 1 species